GCCAGCGUAGCUCAGUUGGCCAGAGCAAUGCUUUCGUAAAGCAGAGGUCGUGGGUUCGACUCCCGCCGCUGGCU
rnacentral:tRNA from 1 species